GACGAACGCUGGCGGCGUGCUUAACACAUGCAAGUCGAACGCUGAAGCUCAGCUUUUGUUGGGUGGAUGAGUGGCGAACGGGUGAGUAACACGUGAGUAACCUGCCCCCUUCUUUGGGAUAACGCCCGGAAACGGGUGCUAAUACUGGAUAUUCACUGGUCUUCGCAUGGGGGUUGGUGGAAAGGGUUUUUCUGGUGGGGGAUGGGCUCGCGGCCUAUCAGCUUGUUGGUGGGGUGAUGGCCUACCAAGGCUUUGACGGGUAGCCGGCCUGAGAGGGUGACCGGUCACAUUGGGACUGAGAUACGGCCCAGACUCCUACGGGAGGCAGCAGUGGGGAAUAUUGCACAAUGGGCGCAAGCCUGAUGCAGCGACGCCGCGUGAGGGAUGGAGGCCUUCGGGUUGUGAACCUCUUUCGCUCAUGGUCAAGCCGCAACAAUGGUUGUGGUGAGGGUAGUGGGUAAAGAAGCGCCGACUAACUACGUG
rnacentral:rRNA from 1 species